rnacentral:rRNA from 1 species
UAACGCGUAGGUAACCUGCCUUGUAGCGGGGGAUAACUAUUGGAAACGAUAGCUAAUACCGCAUAACAAUGGAUGACCCAUGUCAUUUAUUUGAAAGGGGCAAAUGCUCCACUACAAGAUGGACCUGCGUUGUAUUAGCUAGUAGGUGAGGUAACGGCUCACCUAGGCGACGAUACAUAGCCGACCUGAGAGGGCGAUCGGCCACACUGGGACUGAGACACGGCCCAG